AGUCUAGUUUAUACGACACUAGCCUAAAUGAUGUGUUUGGGACUAAGUCAUUAGGGAAGAAAGCAAUCUAGUUUACAUAAAUCAGUUCUGAAAACAAACCCUCUCAAUAAAGAAAUAGAAACUACCUCCCUUUGGUUGGAGGUCAUAAUAUUAAACUUUUAGAAAAAGAUAAACAGACCAGGGGUAUAUAAGAUGAUCACAUACUCCAUAUUUUACUAUUUCAUUAGUGAUUAUCUUUUGGGGUUUUUCAUCUGGGGUUCUGUGGAAAAGUCCUAAUGCCCUAAAGUAGUGGUAUGAUCAAAGUGUGAUCUCAGAUCCCCCAGGAGUCCCUGAGAAUCUUUAAGAGUUCAUGUGGUUCUUUUUCCUACGUACCUAUUUGUGUGAGGCUGGAUUUUCUUCAUAUACUUCAACUAAAAUCAUGUAAGACUCAAUGCAGAAGCAGAUACGAGAAUCCAGUGUCUUGUGUUAGGUAGACAGUAGAGAGAUUUCAAAAUCGUAACAUGAUACCACUCUUCUCACUACAAAAUAUAGUUGGUCUUUGUUUUUGAAAAGUACAGUUAAUUUUUAUUAAAUUGUAUUGUUUACCUUAUUAAGUAAUGAGUUUAAUACUGUUAUUUUUAAAUGAACAGGGGCUGAGGGUAUAGAUUAGUGGUAAGGUACAUUUGCUGACCAUAUAUGUAACUAUAUCUGGGUUAGAUCCACAGAAUCACAAAGGAAAAAAAUAAAAGACUGAAUAUCUUAAAGUACUUCUCAGCUUUACUUUUUAAUACAGUGAAUACUUAUAGCUGUAAGCCAUAUAAGCUAAACUGUUUGUGAUCAUUAUUGAGUUCUGAAAUCACCAAGUUUGAAAACAGCUACCUUAGGGCAUCCAUAGUAUAUAUAAUGUAAUGUUACUUUACAUAUGUAAGGAGGGAGAAAAGAAAAAUAGUCACCAAGAAAACAUUUUCAUAUUUUGGACUUCAGAUGAAAAACCGUAAUUAAAAACCAUAUAGCCUGGCCGAUAGCAGGUGCUCACUGAACAGGGAAAUGACAAAAUUAUGACAUUAGGAGCAAGGUGGCUUUAACGGGUGGUUAGACUAAACCAUACUUAAAUUAAUAAGCUUCAUGGUAAGUUCUUAUUUUACUUCAUAUAUACUUUAGACAUUUGAUUAUUUUUCUUAAAAAGUUUCUGGACCAUUUCAAUUUCCAUAAUAACAAAAUACUCCCCGAGUUUAAAAACACGAAUUUCCAAUACCUUGAGGAAGACUUCUUGAAAAGACCACCAAAGUAAAACAACAACAACAAAAAAACCAACAACAACCUUCUCUUCCUAUAUUUUAUUACAUGGCUGUAGGGUUUAGUACCUAAAAUAGUUGUAAU